rnacentral:lncRNA from 1 species
GUGAGAUAUACAAUGAUCUCUAUCAUAGUAUCAUUGAAACUUUUUUUAAUGGAUCAGAAUAAUUCUACUCUAACUCAUCAAAGAUUGUUGAUCUUGAGCAAUUUUAGUGAGCUCUUACAAUCCAUCAGUGACACCUAGCAGUAUGUAGUGGCAACUCAAUAGAAUCGCAAAAAAUCUCAAGGUGUAAUUAAUAUAUGAUUCAGUCUCUCUAUCAUGAGUUUCGACUAGAUGGAAGGUCAUGGAUAAAUCAUCAAACUUCAUCAUCAGUCAUAUGAUAGAUUUGAUUAGCUCAAUUCAAUUGUGAUCCUCAUAAAUUUUUUUUUUGUCAAUCACACUGCUGUGGUCACAGACUCUCGGACUUAGCUUCUCAAAUUUUAUAAGACUACUCCUCUCUAUCAAGAUCGAUAGAUUCCAUCUAGAUACAUAUCUUACUCCUAUGGUGGAUCAACUAUCGUCAAUAUCUACUACAAGAGCUCAUUGGGACUAUAUUUAUGUGUCAGUCAAACUCUAGCAGCUUUACUACGAACAGUCAUACCAUCAUAGGUCAAAGGAUAAUUUACACAACUACAGCAUGAAGUCAAUCACUGAUGAUUGAUUAAAAAUCUAAGUGAUCUCUCGUAUGGUCACGUUCUGUAUUAGUUAUUUUCUAACAACUAUCCACAC